rnacentral:rRNA from 1 species
CAGUCGAGCGCGGGAAGCAAGCAGAUCUCCUUCGGGAGUGACGCUUGUGGAACGAGCGGCGGACGGGUGAGUAACACGUGGGCAACCUACCUGUAAGACUGGGAUAACUCCGGGAAACCGGGGCUAAUACCGGAUGAAACAAAGCGUCGCAUGACGCAAUGUUAAAAGGCGGCAUAUGCUGUCACUUACAGAUGGGCCCGCGGCGCAUUAGCUAGUUGGUGAGGUAAAGGCUCACCAAGGCAACGAUGCGUAGCCGACCUGAGAGGGUGAUCGGCCACACUGGGACUGAGACACGGCCCAGACUCCUACGGGAGGCAGCAGUAGGGAAUCUUCCGCAAUGGACGAAAGUCUGACGGAGCAACGCCGCGUGAGUGAUGAAGGUUUUCGGAUCGUAAAACUCUGUUGUUAGGGAAGAACAAGUGCCAUUCGAAUAGGUUGGCACCUUGACGGUACCUAACCAGAAAGCCCCGGCUAACUACGUGCCAGCAGCCGCGGUAAUACGUAGGGGGCAAGCGUUGUCCGGAAUUAUUGGGCGUAAAGCGCGCGCAGGCGGUCCUUUAAGUCUGAUGUGAAAGCCCACGGCUUAACCGUGGAGGGCCAUUGGAAACUGGAGGACUUGAGUACAGAAGAGGAGAGUGGAAUUCCACGUGUAGCGGUGAAAUGCGUAGAGAUGUGGAGGAACACCAGUGGCGAAGGCGACUCUCUGGUCUGUAACUGACGCUGAGGUGCGAAAGCGUGGGUAGCGAACAGGAUUAGAUACCCUGGUAGUCCACGCCGUAACGAUGAGUGCUAGGUGUUAGGGGGUUUCCGCCCCUUAGUGCUGAAGUUAACGCAUUAAGCACUCCGCCUGGGGGAGUACGGCCCGCAACGCGGAAGACUCACAAGAGUUGGACUGUGCACCCCGCACAAGCGGGUGGAGCAUGUGGGUUUAAUUUCUAAAGCAACGCGCAGAAACCGUGACCAAGUCUUGGACAUCCUCUGACACGCCCUAGAGAUAAGGGCAUUGCCCAUUCCCGGAGCAGAGAUGACAGUCCUGCAUGCAUAUCAUCAGCUCCUGUCAUGGAAUGUAGGUUAGUUCCCGCAACGCAGCCAACCCUUGAUCUUAGUU